GACGAACGCUGGCGGCGUGCUUAACACAUGCAAGUCGAACGGAGCUUAUGGAGAGCUUGCUCGAAGUAAGCUUAGUGGCGAACGGGUGAGUAACGCGUGAGAAACCUGCCUCUCAGUGGGGGACAACAGUUGGAACGACUGCUAAUACCGCAUAAUGUAUUCGGAAGGCAUCUUCUGAAUACCAAAGCUUUAUGUGCUGAGAGAUGGUCUCGCGUCUGAUUAGCUAGAUGGCGGGGUAACGGCCCACCAUGGCGACGAUCAGUAGCCGGUCUGAGAGGAUGAACGGCCACAUUGGGACUGAGAUACGGCCCAGACUCCUACGGGAGGCAGCAGUGGGGAAUAUUGGGCAAUGGGGGAAACCCUGACCCAGCAACGCCGCGUGAAGGAAGAAGGGCUUUCGGGAUCGUAAAACUCCCUGUCCUCAGGGAAGAGCAGAAGACGGUACCUGAGGAGGAAGCCCCCGGCUAACUAACGUGCCAGCAGCC
rnacentral:rRNA from 1 species